rnacentral:rRNA from 1 species
UCCAGACUCCUACGGGAGGCAGCAGUGGGGGAUAUUGCACAAUGGGGGGAACCCUGAUGCAGCGACGCCGCGUGGGCGAUGGAGCGCCUCGGCGCGUAAAGCCCUAUCAGCAGGGAAGAAGAUGACGGUACCUGACUAAGAAGCCCCGGCUAAAUACGUGCCAGCAGCCGCGGUAAUACGUAUGGGGCAAGCGUUAUCCGGAUUUACUGGGUGUAAAGGGGGCGCAGACGGCGAUGCAAGCCAGGAGUGAAAGCCCGGGGCCCAACCCCGGGACUGCUCUUGGAACUGCGUGGCUGGAGUGCAGGAGGGGCAGGCGGAAUUCCUGGUGUAGCGGUGAAAUGCGUAGAUAUCAGGAGGAACACCGGUGGCGAAGGCGGCCUGCUGGACUGCGACUGACGUUGAGGCCCGAAAGCGUGGGGAGCAAACAGGAUUAGAUACCCGUGUAU